ensembl:lncRNA
AAGGCCCGGGCUGCGGGAGGGGAACGGCGCCCUCAGGUCCCGCUGUCCUGCGGUGGCUGCUGGCGGCACAGCGCCGUGGUUGGAGCAGGCGACUUCUGAGCACUCCGUGAAUGUGCGUGUGCCUCUCCCGCUCCCCCAAACCCAUCCUUGAACUUGGAAAACUGUGUUUACGUACAUCUAAGGAGAAUUAGUAGCGCCCGUGGUCGGGCUGGAUGGGCUCUGAGCACUGAUGGAGCUGUGGGUGGCCCCGUGGCUGCAGGGAGUGGGACCUGAGGGCCUCUGAGGGUCCCUUUUGACUCAAACCAUCCUAUGGUCUGAUGAUCGAGCUAUGAAUUCUGCUUAGCCUCAUGGGCACGUCCAGCAUUGGCGGUGCAAGUAGCAGAGAGCGUGAACAAGACCCAGGCAUUGCUGCUGGAGGCUCCAACCCAGAGCCACCUCAAAUCUCUGAAGCCGUGCCCGACCACCACCAUAAAAACGGCCUUCAGAACCCGGAGGCCUUCUGGCAAAGUCCAGAACCUCCCUCCAAAGAGAAGGAUGCUCUUCAGAGGCACGACUCUGUGACACCCACAUGUUGUUGGCGCACGUGUUAGGACACCGCAGCAAGGAACAGGCAAUGCAGAUUUGGACGGCGUACAAAAAGGCAUAGCAAGGCAGGCGAGGGCGGGAAGUGAUAAGAACUCAUCUGCCACGAAGAGUGGUUGAGACCUGCGAGUCUCCGUGGGACGCCUCUGGAAGUGAUCACUGGGGAAGCACAGGAGGUUCUUUAGACACAAAAGGGGUUUGGAGGCGCAGCCCGAGCUUCCAGGCGACAGUGACAUCGCCUUUGCAGCCCUCGUGCUUCCCCAAAGACAAUUGGAGGAAAUUAGCUCAGUGCUUGCUUGAGACCUGACAGUGUCUGGAAGACAGUGGGAGUGACCCUGGGCUGUGCUCCCAUGUCAAGCCUGAAGCUCAACACCAAUUCCCUCUGGCAUCUGGGGAG